GACGAACGCUGGCGGCGUGCUUAACACAUGCAAGUCGAACGGAAAGGCCCUGCUUUUGUGGGGUGCUCGAGUGGCGAAAGGGUGAGUAUCACGUGAGUAACCUGCCCUUUACUUUGGGAUAACUUCAGGAAACUGGGGCUAAUACCGGAUAGGAGCUCCUGCUGCAUGGUGGGGGUUGGAAAGUUUCGGCGGUUGGGGAUGGACUCGCGGCUUAUCAGCUUGUUGGUGGGGUAGUGGAUUACCAAGGCUUUGACGGGUAGCCGGCCUGAGAGGGUGACCGGCCACAUUGGGACUGAGAUACGGCCCAGACUCCUACGGGAGGCAGCAGUGAGGAAUAUUGCACAAUGGGCGGAAGCCUGAUGCAGCAACGCCGCGUGCGGGAUGACGGCCUUCGGGUUGUAAACCGGUUUCGACUGUGACGAAGAGUGAGUGACGGUAAUGGGUAAAGAAGCACCGGCUAACUACGUG
rnacentral:rRNA from 1 species